rnacentral:rRNA from 1 species
GACGAACGCUGGCGGCGUGCUUAACACAUGCAAGUCGAACGGAAAGGCCCUGCUUUUGUGGGGUGCUCGAGUGGCGAACGGGUGAGUAACACGUGAGUAACCUGCCCUUGACUUUGGGAUAACUUCAGGAAACUGGGGCUAAUACCGGAUAGGAGCUCCUGCUGCAUGGUGGGGGUUGGAAGUUUCGGCGGUUGGGGAUGGACUCGCGGCUUAUCAGCUUGUUGGUGGGGUAGUGGCUUACCAAGGCUUUGACGGGUAGCCGGCCUGAGAGGGUGACCGGCCACAUUGGGACUGAGAUACGGCCCAGACUCCUACGGGAGGCAGCAGUGGGGAAUAUUGCACAAUGGGCGGAAGCCUGAUGCAGCAACGCCGCGUGCGGAAUGACGGCCUUCGGGUUGUAAACCGCUUUCGCCUGUGACGAAGCGUGAGUGACGGUAAUGGGUAAAGAAGCACCGGCUAACUACGUG